rnacentral:rRNA from 1 species
UACGUAGGGUGCGAGCGUUAAUCGGAAUUACUGGGCGUAAAGCGUGCGCAGGCGGUUUUUCAAGACCGAUGUGAAAUCCCCGGGCUUAACCUGGGAAUGGCAUUGGUGACUGGAAGGCUAGAGUGUGUCAGAGGGGGGGUAGAAUUCCACGUGUAGCAGUGAAAUGCGUAGAGAUGUGGAGGAAUACCGAUGGCGAAGGCAGCCCCCUGGGAUAACACUGACGCUCAUGCACGAAAGCGUGGGGAGCAAACAGG